rnacentral:rRNA from 1 species
UUUUUGUUUAAAAUUUAAAGUCUAACCUGCCCACUGAUUGUUUAUUAAAGGGCCGCGGUAUUUUGACUGUGCAAAGGUAGCAUAAUCAUUUGUCUCUUAAUUGGAGGCUGGAAUGAAUGGUUGAAUGAAAUAUUAACUGUCUCAUUUUUAAAAUUGUAAAAAUUUAGCUUUUAAGUCAAAAGGCUUAAAUAAAUUUAGAGGACGAGAAGACCCUAUAGAUCUUUAUAUUUUAUAAAAUUUUAUAAAAUAGAAAAAUAAUAUAUGAAUUUUUAUAAAAUAUUUUAUUGGGGUGAUAGGAAAAUUAAAUAAACUUUUCUUUACUUAAAACAUUGAUUUAUGAAUAAUUGAUCCAUUUUUAGUGAUUAUAAGAUUAAGUUACCUUAGGGAUAACAGCGUAAUUUUUUUAGAGAGUUCAUAUCGAUAAAAAAGAUUGCGACCUCGAUGUUGAAUUAAAGGUUAUUUCUAGAUGUAGCAGUUUAGAGUUUAGGUCUGUUCGACCUUUAAAUCUU